ACGAACGCUGGCGGCAUGCCUAACACAUGCAAGUCGAACGAGACCUUCGGGUCUAGUGGCGCACGGGUGCGUCACGCGUGGGAACCUGCCCUUAGGUUCGGAAUAACUCCCCGAAAGGGGUGCUAAUACCGGAUAAUGUCUUCGGACCAAAGAUUUAUCGCCUUUGGAUGGGCCCGCGUUGGAUUAGCUAGUUGGUAGGGUAAAAGCCUACCAAGGCGACGAUCCAUAGCUGGUCUGAGAGGAUGAUCAGCCACACUGGGACUGAGACACGGCCCAGACCCCUACGGGAGGCAGCAGUGGGGAAUAUUGGACAAUGGGCGAAAGCCUGAUCCAGCUAUGCCGCGUGAGUGAUGAAGGCCUUAGGGUUGUAAAGCUCUUUUACCCGGGAUGAUAAUGACAGUACCGGGAGAAUAAGCUCCGGCUAACUCCGU
rnacentral:rRNA from 1 species